rnacentral:rRNA from 1 species
AUACGGAGGAUCCGAGCGUUAUCCGGAUUUAUUGGGUUUAAAGGGAGCGUAGGCGGACGCUUAAGUCAGUUGUGAAAGUUUGCGGCUCAACCGUAAAAUUGCAGUUGAUACUGGGUGUCUUGAGUACAGUAGAGGCAGGCGGAAUUUGUGGUGUAGCGGGGAAAUGCUUAGAUAUCACGAAGAACUCCGAUUGCGAAGGCAGCCUGCUGGACUGUAACUGACGCUGAUGCUCGAAAGUGUGGGUAUCAAACAGGAUUAGAUACCCUGGUAGUCCACACAGUAAACGAUGAAUACUCGCUGUUUGCGAUAUACAGUAAGCGGCCAAGCGAAAGCGUUAAGUAUUCCACCUGGGGAGUACGCCGGCAACGGUGAAACUCAAAUGAAUUGACGGGG